rnacentral:rRNA from 1 species
UACGUAGGGUGCGAGCGUUGUCCGGAAUUAUUGGGCGUAAAGAGCUUGUAGGCGGUCUGUCGCGUCUGCUGUGAAAGACCGGGGCUUAACUCCGGUUCUGCAGUGGGUACGGGCAGACUAGAGUGUGGUAGGGGAGACUGGAAUUCCUGGUGUAGCGGUGAAAUGCGCAGAUAUCAGGAGGAACACCGAUGGCGAAGGCAGGUCUCUGGGCCAUUACUGACGCUGAGAAGCGAAAGCAUGGGGAGCGAAC